GGUGGAACUAAGUGCCCCACCGUGUGAAAGGACCAAAGUCCUGAAACACUGUAAGGUCUGGUGGUGCAUGCCUGUAUUAACCGACACUCCAGAAGUAGAGAAACCAUUAGUGUGUCCAAUGUUCAAGAACAACAGUUGUUCACCUCAAGAAGUUUAUAACUUGCUGGGAGUCAGCGAGAGAACUCGAUAUGCCGAUCCAUGUUUCAAAAAUGGUGGAAGUUCACAGAGAAUUUUACAGAGGCUGUGAACAAUAGAAUAUCGUGCUAUUACUGCAAGAAUUGGUUUCUCUCCAUUGUUGGUGACGACUUACAAAGGACCACAACCUGCAGCAUCACUUGGGGCUCUGUCGUUUCCAGUUCCUUUGGAAGACUCAUAUCUAGAUAUUUAUGGCAGAUGGUUCUACAAAUCAGUCUAUUUUCAAUUUAAUGUGGCAUUGGCCAACCAAAUAAAAUGCUAAGAUAACCCCUGAA